rnacentral:rRNA from 1 species
GAACGCUGGCGGCGUGCCUAAUACAUGCAAGUCGAGCGAAUGGAUUAAGAGCUUGCUCUUAUGAAGUUAGCGGCGGACGGGUGAGUAACACGUGGGUAACCUGCCCAUAAGACUGGGAUAACUCCGGGAAACCGGGGCUAAUACCGGAUAACAUUUUGAACCGCAUGGUUCGAAAUUGAAAGGCGGCUUCGGCUGUCACUUAUGGAUGGACCCGCGUCGCAUUAGCUAGUUGGUGAGGUAACGGCUCACCAAGGCAACGAUGCGUAGCCGACCUGAGAGGGUGAUCGGCCACACUGGGACUGAGACACGGCCCAGACUCCUACGGGAGGCAGCAGUAGGGAAUCUUCCGCAAUGGACGAAAGUCUGACGGAGCAACGCCGCGUGAGUGAUGAAGGCUUUCGGGUCGUAAAACUCUGUUGUUAGGGAAGAACAAGUGCUAGUUGAAUAAGCUGGCACCUUGACGGUACCUAACCAGAAAGCCACGGCUAACU